UACGUAGGGUGCAAGCGUUAAUCGGAAUUACUGGGCGUAAAGCGUGCGCAGGCGGUUAUGCAAGACAGAUGUGAAAUCCCCGGGCUCAACCUGGGAACUGCAUUUGUGACUGCAUGGCUGGAGUGCGGCAGAGGGGGGUGGAAUUCCGCGUGUAGCAGUGAAAUGCGUAGAUAUGCGGAGGAACACCGAUGGCGAAGGCAAUCCCCUGGGCCUGCACUGACGCUCAUGCACGAAAGCGUGGGGAGCAAACAGG
rnacentral:rRNA from 1 species